GGCUUCACAGCUCAGUUGGGCGAGCAUCGCACCGGUAUCACGGAGGUCACGGGUUUGAAUCCCGUUGAAGUCC
rnacentral:tRNA from 1 species